rnacentral:rRNA from 1 species
GACGAACGCUGGCGGCGUGCCUAAUACAUGCAAGUCGAACGCAGUGGGGACGGGUGAGUAACACGUGCGUAACCUCCCAUACGAGAGGAUAACACUUGGAAACAGGUGCUAAACCGAUACUGAUUUAUAGACUCGCGGUGCAUUAGCUAGUUGGUGAGGUAACGGCUCAACAAGGCCACGAUGCAUAGCCGACCUGAGAGGGGGAUCGGCCACACUGGGACUGAGACACGGCCCAGACUCCUACGGGAGGCAGCAGUAGGGAAUCUUCGGCAAUGGACGAAAGUCUGACCGAGCAACGCCGCGUGAGUGAAGAAGGUUUUCGGAUCGUAAAACUCUGUUGGUAGAGAAGCGGUAUCUAACCAGAAAGCCACGGCUAACUACGUGCCAGCAGCCGCGGUAAUAC